rnacentral:rRNA from 1 species
GCCUCUUAGACGAGGAUAACAGUUGGAAACGACUGCUAAGACUGGAUAGGAAGUUUUAAGGCAUCUUGAAACUUUUAAAAGACCCGCAAGGGUAUGCUAAGAGAUGGGCUUGCGGCACAUUAGUUAGUUGGUAAGGUAACGGCUUACCAAGACUAUGAUGUGUAGCUGGACUGAGAGGUUGAACGGCCACAUUGGGAUUGAGAUACGGCCCAAACUCCUACGGGAGGCAGCAGUAAGGAAUUUUCGGCAAUGGAGGAAACUCUGACCGAGCAACGCCGCGUGAACGAUGAAAUAUUUAGGUAUGUAAAGUUCUUUUAUUAAAGAAGAAAAAAUGAUGGAAAAAUCAUUCUGACGGUAUUUAAUGAAUAAGCCCCGGCUAACUAUGUGCCAGCAGCUGCGGUAAUACAUGGGGGGCAAGCGUUAUCCGGAUUUAUUGGGCGUAAAGGGUGUGUAGGCGGUUUAAUAAGUCUAUGGUAUAAGUUCAACGCUUAACGUUGUGAUGCUAUGGAAACUGUUUGACUAGAGUUGGAUAGAGGCAAGUGGAAUUCCAUGUGUAGCGGUAAAAUGCGUAAAUAUAUGGAGGAACACCAGUAGCGAAGGCGGCUUGCUGGGUCUUAACUGACGCUGAGGCACGAAAGCGUGGGGAGCAAACAGGAUUAGAUACCCUGGUAGUCCACGCCGUAAACGAUGAGUACUAAGUGUUGGGUUAAACCAGUGCUGAAGUUAACACAUUAAGUACUCCGCCUGAGUAGUACGUACGCAAGUAUGAAACUUAAAGGAAUUGACGGGACUCCGCACAAGCGGUGGAUCAUGUUGUUUAAUUCGAAGAUACACGAAAAACCUUACCAGGUCUUGACAUACUCUGCAAAGCUAUAGAAAUAUAGUGGAGGUUAUCAGGGAUACAGGUGGUGCAUGGUUGUCGUCAGCUCGUGUCGUGAGAUGUUGGGUUAAGUCCCGCAACGAGCGCAACCCUUAUCGCUAGUUACCAUCAUUUAGUUGGGCACUUUAGUGAGACUGCCAAUGAUAAAUUGGAGGAAGGUGGGGAUUACGUCAAAUCAUCAUGCCCCUUAUGACCUGGGCUACAAACGUGAUACAAUGGCUGUUACAAAGAGUAGCUGAAGCGUGAGUUUUUAGCAAAUCUCAAAAAAACAGUCUCAGUUCGGAUUGAAGUCUGCAACUCGACUUCAUGAAGUCGGAAUCGCUAGUAAUCGCGAAUCAGCAUGUCGUGGUGAAUACGUUCUCGGGGUUUGUACACACCGCCCGUCAAACCAUGAAAGUUGACAAUACUCGAAACCAGUAGCCUAACUUGCAAAAGAGGGAACUGUCUAAGGUAGGGUCGAUGAUUGGGGUUAAGUCGUAACAAGGUAUCCCUACCGGAAGGUGGGGAUGGAUCACCUCCUUUCU